CGCGAAUCAGAAUGUCGCGGUGAAUACGUUCCCGGGUCUUGUACACACCGCCCGUCACACCAUGGGAGCCGGAAAUGCCCGAAGCCAGUGACCCAACCUUAGGGAGGGAGCUGUCGAAGGUGGAGCCGGUAACUGGGGUGAAGUCGUAACAAGGUAAC
rnacentral:rRNA from 1 species